UUCAAACGAUUUAUGGAUCGGAUUCGGAAUUGGCGGAUGCUAAAAAUAAACUGUUAUGUGUAUACUCCUUUGCAGCACCAACGCUAAGCAGAAGUUUUAUGCAAAACUAAAAGGAAAA